rnacentral:rRNA from 1 species
GAGUUUGAUCUUGGCUCAGAUUGAACGCUGGCGGCAUGCCUUACACAUGCAAGUCGAACGAAGGCUUCGGCCUUAGUGGCGCACGGGUGCGUAACGCGUGGGAAUCUGCCCUUUGCUUCGGAAUAACAGUGGGAAACUACUGCUAAUACCGGAUGAUGUCUUCGGACCAAAGAUUUAUCGGCAAGGGAUGAGCCCGCGUAGGAUUAGGUAGUUGGUGGGGUAAAGGCCUACCAAGCCGACGAUCCUUAGCUGGUCUGAGAGGAUGAUCAGCCACACUGGGACUGAGACACGGCCCAGACUCCUACGGGAGGCAGCAGUGGGGAAUAUUGGACAAUGGGGGGAACCCUGAUCCAGCAAUGCCGCGUGAGUGAUGAAGGCCUUAGGGUUGUAAAGCUCUUUUACCAGGGAUGAUAAUGACAGUACCUGGAGAAUAAGCUCCGGCUAACUCCGUGCCAGCAGCCGCGGU